UCCCUGAUGGUCCAGUGUCUAAGACUCUGUUUUCCCAAUGCAGGGGGCACGGGUUCAACCCCUGGUUGGGGAA
rnacentral:tRNA from 1 species